UACGUAGGGUGCAAGCGUUAAUCGGAAUUACUGGGCGUAAAGCGUGCGCAGGCGGUUAUGUAAGACAGUUGUGAAAUCCCGGCUCAACCUGGGAACUGCAUCUAUGACUGCAUAGCUAGAGUACGGUAGAGGGGAUGGAAUUCCGCGUGUAGCAGUGAAAUGCGUAGAUAUGCGGAGGAACACCGAUGGCGAAGGCAAUCCCCUGGACCUGUACUGACGCUCAUGCACGAAAGCGUGGGGAGCAAACAGG
rnacentral:rRNA from 1 species